rnacentral:rRNA from 1 species
GGGGAAUUUUCCGCAAUGGGCGAAAGCCUGACAGAGCAAUACCGCGUGAGGGAAGAAGGCUUACUGAGUUGUAAACCUCGGUGCCUUAAGGAAGAAGAUCUGACGGUACUUAAGGUGGAAAGCAUCGGCUAACCCCGUGCCAGCAGCCGCGGUAAGACGGGGGAUGCAAGUGUUAUCCGGAAUCACUGGGCGUAAAGCGUCUGCAGGUGGUUUCCUAAGUCCACUGUUAAACCUUGAGGCUCAACCUCAAAUCUGCAGUGGAAACUAGGGAACUUGAGGAUAGUAGGGGUAGAGGGAAUUUCCAGUGGAGCGGUGAAAUGCGUAGAUAUUGGAAAGAACACCGAUGGCGAAGGCACUCUACUGGGCUAUGACUGACACUCAGAGACGAAAGCUAGGGGAGCAAAAGGGAUUAGAUACCCCUGUAGUC